GAUGAACGCUGGCUACAGGCUUAACACAUGCAAGUCGAGGGAAACGACGGGGAAGCUUGCUUCCCCGGGCGUCGACCGGCGCACGGGUGAGUAACGCGUAUCCAACCUGCCCCUGACUGAGGGAUAACCCGUCGAAAGUCGGCCUAAUACCUCAUGGCAUCGUCUGCGGGCAUCCAACGACGAUUAAAGAUUUCAUCGGUCAGGGAUGGGGAUGCGUCUGAUUAGCUUGUUGGCGGGGUAACGGCCCACCAAGGCUACGAUCAGUAGGGGCUCUGAGAGGAAGGUCCCCCACAUUGGAACUGAGACACGGUCCAAACUCCUACGGGAGGCAGCAGUGAGGAAUAUUGGUCAAUGGGCGAGAGCCUGAACCAGCCAAGUAGCGUGCAGGAUGACGGCCCUAUGGGUUGUAAACUGCUUUUAUGCGGGGAUAAAGUGAGGGACGUGUCCUUCAUUGCAGGUACCGCAUGAAUGAAGGACGGUGUCAACCGCA
rnacentral:rRNA from 1 species